UGGUGUCAUAAGAACUUAAGCAUCCUCA
rnacentral:piRNA from 1 species